rnacentral:rRNA from 1 species
CCUACGGGAGGCAGCAGUAGGGAAUCUUCCGCAAUGGACGAAAGUCUGACGGAGCAACGCCGCGUGAACGAUGAAGGCCUUCGGGUCGUAAAGUUCUGUUGUUAGGGAAGAACAAGUGCUAGUUGAAUAAGCUGGCACCUUGACGGUACCUAACCAGAAAGCCACGGCUAACUACGUGCCAGCAGCCGCGGUAAUACGUAGGGACCGAGCGUUGUCCGGAAUCAUUGGGCGUAAAGAGCGUGUAGGCGGCCUAGUAGGUCUCGUGUGAAAUCCCGUGGCUCAACCACGGACACGCACGGGAAACCCCUAGGCUCGAGUCCGGAAGAGGAGAGCGGAAUUCCUGGUGUAGCGGUGAAAUGCGCAGAUAUCAGGAAGAACACCCGUAGCGAAGGCGGCUCUCUGGGACGGUACUGACGCUGAGACGCGAAAGCGUGGGGAGCAAACAGGAUUAGAUACCCUGGUAGUCCACGCCGUAAACGAUGGAUGCUAGGUGUGGGGAGGUGUCGACUCCUCCGUCGCGACGACUACGACAUAAGACAUCCGCCGUCGGGGAGGUACGGGCCGGCCGAACGGACGUAAAACCGUUAAAACGGUAAAGUUAGUACGGCGUGAGACGUGCCGAACGGACGACGACGAGGGAGGUAGG